UAUACCCACCAGAGUGAUGUCUGGAGCUACGGGGUGACCGUUUGGGAGUUGAUGACCUUUGGAUCCAAGCCAUAUGACGGAAUCCCUGCCAGCGAGAUCUCCUCCAUCCUGGAGAAAGGAGAACGCCUCCCUCAGCCACCCAUAUGUACCAUCGAUGUCUACAUGAUCAUGGUCAAGUGCUGGAUGAUAGACGCAGAUAGUCGCCCAAAGUUCCGUGAGUUGAUCAUCGAAUUCUCCAAAAUGGCCCGAGACCCCCAGCGCUACCUUGUCAUUCAGGUACAAAUUGCAGUCUGUGCUUCCAUUGGGAAGAGUCCCUCUAAUGAGCAUCUCAUGUCACUGUGUUCUGUCACAUGCCAGCCUGGCCUCCCUGUGUCCCAGAUCGCAUUAUUAAACCCUCCAGCGCAUUAGAGCAAGCCUCAGUAAGGCGCAGGCCACAUCGUGAACUAAGCAGCAUCCGUGAGUGGGGCCCACCCAACUCCAUCUCCCCCUCCCCGUCUGAACUCUCCUCCCGUGCUCGUCCUCACUGUCCGGCUAGCCAAAGCCUCAGCUGGGUCUAACAGAGAAGCAUGGUCUAUUGGGCUUUGGUGUCAGGCAGACGUGGCUUCACACCCCUGACUCUCCACUUCUUCGCAUCACCCAGGCAGCCGAUCCACCUAUCUCCUUCC
rnacentral:sRNA from 1 species